AACCUAGCACACCUGCGGUGUGUACCUGCGGAAGGAUCAUUACCGAGUUUACAACUCCCAAACCCCUGUGAACAUACCUAUACGUUGCCUCGGCGGAUCAGCCCGCGCCCCGUAAAACGGGACGGCCCGCCCGAGGACCCUAAACUCUGUUUUUAGUGGAACUUCUGAGUAAAACAAACAAAUAAAUCAAAACUUUUAACAACGGAUCU
rnacentral:misc_RNA from 1 species